UGGCGUAUACAGAGGGAAGCGAAGCUGCGAGGUGGAGCGAAUCUCAUAAAGUACGUCUAAGUCCGGAUUGGAGUCUGCAACUCGACUCCAUGAAGUCGGAAUCGCUAGUAAUCGCGAAUCAGAAUGUUGCGGUGAAUACGUUCCCGGGCCUUGUACACACCGCCCGUCACACCAUGGGAGUGGGUUGUACCAGAAGUAGAUAGCUUAACCUUUUGGAGGGCGUUUACCACGGUAUGAUUCAUGACUGGGGUGAAG
rnacentral:rRNA from 1 species